UUAAGCGACUAAGCGUACACGGUGGAUGCCCUGGCAGUCAGAGGCGAUGAAGGACGUGCUAAUCUGCGAAAAGCGUCGGUAAGGUGAUAUGAACCGUUAUAACCGGCGAUGUCCGAAUGGGGAAACCCAGUGCAAUUCGUUGCACUAUCGUUAACUGAAUACAUAGGUUAACGAGGCGAACCGGGGGAACUGAAACAUCUAAGUACCCCGAGGAAAAGAAAUCAACCGAGAUUCCCCCAGUAGCGGCGAGCGAACGGGGAGCAGCCCAGAGUCUGAAUCAGCUUGUGUGUUAGUGGAACGGUCUGGAAAGUCCGACGGUACAGGGUGAUAGUCCCGUACACCAAAAUGCACAGGUUGUGAACUCGAAGAGUAGGGCGGGACACGUGGUAUCCUGUCUGAAUAUGGGGGGACCAUCCUCCAAGGCUAAAUACUCCUGACUGACCGAUAGUGAACCAGUACCGUGAGGGAAAGGCGAAAAGAACCCCGGCGAGGGGAGUGAAAAAGAACCUGAAACCGUGUACGUACAAGCAGUGGGAGCACCUUCGGGUGUGACUGCGUACCUUUUGUAUAAUGGGUCAGCGACUUAUAUUCUGUAGCAAGGUUAACCGUAUAGGGGAGCCGCAGGGAAACCGAGUCUUAACUGGGCGUUAAGUUGCAGGGUAUAGACCCGAAACCCGGUGAUCUAGCCAUGGGCAGGUUGAAGGUUGGGUAACACUAACUGGAGGACCGAACCGACUAAUGUUGAAAAAUUAGCGGAUGACUUGUGGCUGGGGGUGAAAGGCCAAUCAAACCGGGAGAUAGCUGGUUCUCCCCGAAAGCUAUUUAGGUAGCGCCUCGUGAACUCAUCUUCGGGGGUAGAGCACUGUUUCGGCUAGGGGGUCAUCCCGACUUACCAACCCGAUGCAAACUACGAAUACCGAAGAAUGUUAUCACGGGAGACACACGGCGGGUGCUAACGUCCGUCGUGAAGAGGGAAACAACCCAGACCGCCAGCUAAGGUCCCAAAGUCAUGGUUAAGUGGGAAACGAUGUGGGAAGGCACAGACAGCCAGGAUGUUGGCUUAGAAGCAGCCAUCAUUUAAAGAAAGCGUAAUAGCUCACUGGUCGAGUCGGCCUGCGCGGAAGAUGUAACGGGGCUAAACCAUGCACCGAAGCUGCGGCAGCGACACUAUGUGUUGUUGGGUAGGGGAGCGUUCUGUAAGCCUGCGAAGGUGUGCUGUGAGGCAUGCUGGAGGUAUCAGAAGUGCGAAUGCUGACAUAAGUAACGAUAAAGCGGGUGAAAAGCCCGCUCGCCGGAAGACCAAGGGUUCCUGUCCAACGUUAAUCGGGGCAGGGUGAGUCGACCCCUAAGGCGAGGCCGAAAGGCGUAGUCGAUGGGAAACAGGUUAAUAUUCCUGUACUUGGUGUUACUGCGAAGGGGGGACGGAGAAGGCUAUGUUAGCCGGGCGACGGUUGUCCCGGUUUAAGCAUGUAGGCUGGUUAUCCAGGCAAAUCCGGAUAAUCAAGGCUGAGGUGUGAUGACGAGGCACUACGGUGCUGAAGUAACAAAUGCCCUGCUUCCAGGAAAAGCCUCUAAGCAUCAGGUAACAUCAAAUCGUACCCCAAACCGACACAGGUGGUCAGGUAGAGAAUACCAAGGCGCUUGAGAGAACUCGGGUGAAGGAACUAGGCAAAAUGGUGCCGUAACUUCGGGAGAAGGCACGCUGGUGUGUAGGUGAAGUCCCUGCGGAUGGAGCUGAGACCAGUCGAAGAUACCAGCUGGCUGCAACUGUUUAUUAAAAACACAGCACUGUGCAAACACGAAAGUGGACGUAUACGGUGUGACGCCUGCCCGGUGCCGGAAGGUUAAUUGAUGGGGUUAUCCGUAAGGAGAAGCUCUUGAUCGAAGCCCCGGUAAACGGCGGCCGUAACUAUAACGGUCCUAAGGUAGCGAAAUUCCUUGUCGGGUAAGUUCCGACCUGCACGAAUGGCGUAAUGAUGGCCAGGCUGUCUCCACCCGAGACUCAGUGAAAUUGAACUCGCUGUGAAGAUGCAGUGUACCCGCGGCAAGACGGAAAGACCCCGUGAACCUUUACUAUAGCUUGACACUGAACAUUGAGCCUUGAUGUGUAGGAUAGGUGGGAGGCUUUGAAGCGUGGACGCCAGUCUGCGUGGAGCCAACCUUGAAAUACCACCCUUUAAUGUUUGAUGUUCUAACGUUGGCCCCUGACCGGGGUUGCGGACAGUGUCUGGUGGGUAGUUUGACUGGGGCGGUCUCCUCCCAAAGCGUAACGGAGGAGCACGAAGGUUAGCUAAUCCUGGUCGGACAUCAGGAGGUUAGUGCAAUGGCAUAAGCUAGCUUGACUGCGAGCGUGACGGCGCGAGCAGGUGCGAAAGCAGGUCAUAGUGAUCCGGUGGUUCUGAAUGGAAGGGCCAUCGCUCAACGGAUAAAAGGUACUCCGGGGAUAACAGGCUGAUACCGCCCAAGAGUUCAUAUCGACGGCGGUGUUUGGCACCUCGAUGUCGGCUCAUCACAUCCUGGGGCUGAAGUAGGUCCCAAGGGUAUGGCUGUUCGCCAUUUAAAGUGGUACGCGAGCUGGGUUUAGAACGUCGUGAGACAGUUCGGUCCCUAUCUGCCGUGGGCGCUGGAGAAUUGAGGGGGGCUGCUCCUAGUACGAGAGGACCGGAGUGGACGCAUCACUGGUGUUCGGGUUGUCAUGCCAAUGGCACUGCCCGGUAGCUAAAUGCGGAAGAGAUAAGUGCUGAAAGCAUCUAAGCACGAAACUUGCCCCGAGAUGAGUUCUCCCUGAGACUUUAAGUCUCCUGAAGGAACGUUAAAGACGAUGACGUUGAUAGGCCGGGUGUGUAAGCGCAGCGAUGCGUUGAGCUAACCGGUACUAAUGAACCGUGAGGCUUAACCU
rnacentral:rRNA from 1 species